GGCCAAUGAUACUAACAGACGCAGCCGGGCUCAUAACCCGGAGGUCACUAGAUCGAAACUAGUAAUUGCUA
rnacentral:tRNA from 1 species